AAGUCGUAACAAGGUUUCCGUAGGUGAACCUGCGGAAGGAUCAUUAUCGAGUUUUGAAAGGGGUUGUAGCUGGCCUUCCGAGGCAUGUGCACGCCCCGCUCAAUCCACUCUACACCUGUGCACUUACUGUAGGCUUCGGAGGUGAAGCGGGCUUUAUCGCUCGUGGACCUGACGAGCUUACGUUUUAUUUACGAACCCUUCAGUAUCAGAAUGUGUAUCGCGGAUUAACGCAUUGAAUACAACUUUCAGCAACGGAUCUCUUGGCUCUC
rnacentral:misc_RNA from 1 species